UAAAAAUGCAAAUCGGGAAGGAUAGAGAACCUUCGAUCCGAAGGUUUGAGCCGAGCGAAGCGAGACAGCGUUGCGCAGCAACGACCCGAAGGCAGGGUAAUCCUUCCCCCACCACCA
rnacentral:sRNA from 1 species